GAUGAACGCUGGCGGCGUGCCUAAUACAUGCAAGUCGAGCGAACAGACGAGGAGCUUGCUCCUCUGACGUUAGCGGCGGACGGGUGAGUAACACGUGGAUAACCUACCUAUAAGACUGGGAUCACUUCGGGAAACCGGAGCUAAUACCGGAUAAUAUAUUGAACCGCAUGGUUCAAUAGUGAAAGACGGUUUUGCUGUCACUUAUAGAUGGAUCCGCGCCGCAUUAGCUAGUUGGUAAGGUAACGGCCUACCAAGGCGACGAUGCGUAGCCGACCUGAGAGGGUGAUCGGCCACACUGGAACUGAGACACGGUCCAGACUCCUACGGGAGGCAGCAGUAGGGAAUCUUCCGCAAUGGGCGAAAGCCUGACGGAGCAACGCCGCGUGAGUGAUGAAGGUCUUCGGAUCGUAAAACUCUGUUAUUAGGGAAGAACAAAUGUGUAAGUAACUAUGCACGUCUUGACGGUACCUAAUCAGAAAGCCACGGCUAACUACGUG
rnacentral:rRNA from 1 species